CCUACGGGCGGCAGCAGUGGGGAAUAUUGGACAAUGGGCGAAAGCCUGAUCCAGCCAUGCCGCGUGUGUGAAGAAGGCCUUCGGGUUGUAAAGCACUUUCAGUGGGGAAGAAAGCCUUGGGGCUAAUACCCUCGAGGAAGGACAUCACCCACAGAAGAAGCACCGGCUAACUCCGUGCACAGCAGCCGCGGUAAUACGGAGGGUGCGAGCGUUAAUCGGAAUUACUGGGCGGAAAGCGCGCGUAGGCGGUCUGAUAAGCCGGUUGUGAAAGCCCCGGGCUCAACCUGGGAACGGCAUCCGGAACUGUCAGGCUAGAGUGCAGGAGAGGAAGGUAGAAUUCCCGGUGUAGCGGUGAAAUGCGUAGAGAUCGGGAGGAAUACCAGUGGCGAAGGCGGCCUUCUGGACUGACACUGACGCUGAGGUGCGAAAGCGUGGGUAGCAAACAGGAUUAGAUACCCCAGUAGUC
rnacentral:rRNA from 1 species